UACGGGGGGGAGCAAGCGUUGUUCGGAUUUACUGGGCGUAAAGGGCGCGUAGGCGGCCACCGCAAGUCGACUGUGAAAUCUCCGGGCUUAACCCGGAAAGGUCAGCCGAUACUGCCGAGCUAGAGUAUCGGAGAGGUUGGUGGAAUUCUCGGUGUAGAGGUGAAAUUCGUAGAUAUCGAGAGGAACACCGGUGGCGAAGGCGGCCAACUGGACGAAUACUGACGCUGAGACUCGAAAGCGUGGGGAGCAAACGGGAUUAGAACCUACGUCG
rnacentral:rRNA from 1 species